UACGAAGGGGGCAAGCGUUGUUCGGAAUGACUGGGCGUAAAGGGCGCGUAGGCGGUUCGUUGCGUCAGAUGUGAAAGCCCCGGGCUCAACCUGGGAACUGCAUUUGAUACGGGCGGGCUUGAAUCCAAGAGAGGGUGGUGGAAUUCCCAGUGUAGAGGUGAAAUUCGUAGAUAUUGGGAAGAACACCAGUGGCGAAGGCGGCGACCUGGCUUGGUAUUGACGCUGAGGCGCGAAAGCGUGGGGAGCAAACAGG
rnacentral:rRNA from 1 species